CAGGACCUCAAAAGUAUCCAGAGCGCCACUAAAAGCCACGACGCAGAGCUAGGAUGGUAAACCCGACGAGGGCCCGGAGGAGCAGAACCUAGAACGGGGCAUCAGCAUCCUGAUGUGUCACACUGGACCCAGGCCUCGGCGGAGCGCACGGAAGACAACUCCCCAGCUCGCAGGACCAACCUAAAAUGCCCAGGUAAGGCGUGUCCUCACGGCGCCGUUAGUAGCCCGCCCAAGUGAGGCACUGCGCGCCGGGGGACUGCCGUCCCGAGAACCAAGCGGGAGGAAUGAAUUGUGCGGGAGGCGAGGUCUGCGCCCACCCGGGUCCGGUCUCCACGCGGGUAGCACCCACACGCUCUGCACCUCCGGGACCGCCCGGGAGCGCGCGAGGGCCCGACCGCAGAAAGUUGGGACGCUCGCGCCGCCGCCCGCGCGCUCCGGGGCGCCCCCUCCCACCCGAGCGCCACGUGCCGCGCGCCCCCUGCUCCCAGGCCGCGGCGGGACGCCCCCGCCCCCACCGCGGCGCGUAGUGCGCAGGCGCCUCCCCGCGGGUCCGGGCGGCGGGAGCGGGAGGCGGCGGCGGGAGCGGGUUCGGCCUCGGCUGGAGACUGAGGCGAGGGCGGCGGCGGCGGCGAGAGUUGGAGGAGAGGCGCGGGUGGCGGCGAAGGCGAUGGCGACGCGGGGCACAUGAGGCGGCGGCCGGCGGGACGGGCCGAGGCCCGGCGGAGGAGGCGGCUCCGGGGGAACACGCCGCCCGGUGAGGGGCGGCCGCAGGGCCGGCUGAGAAGCGGGCAAGGGGCGGGGCCGGGGGGGGGGGGGGGGAGCUUUGGGGGGGGGGCCGGGGGGGGGGGGGGGGGGGGGGGGGAUGGGGGUCCCGGGAAGAGUGCGGUGGGAGGGGGUGCUGCCGAGACUUCCCGCCGAUCCCGGAGGGGCGUCUGCCCCGCGGCCCGCCGCUGCCCCCGUCGCGCCCUCCCCCUUUGUCCCUGGGCGCGCGGUUCCCAAAUUGGGAGGGAAACGGCCCGGGGGUGGGCCAGGGCGGCGGCGGCCGCGUCGGGCGGGCGGGGAGCCCGGAGGACCCCGGGCGCGCACUUGGGCGGCGCUCGGCGGUGCUCGCAACUCCUCGGGGCGGUUAGGGGCGCAGGGCCGCGCCGGGGCCGCCCCUCGCCGCCGGGGCGCUUCGCGGGCUGGUCUUUGUCUCCCGACGCUCGGUGCCUGACAUCUCUUCGGGCGGCGUGCGAGGGAAUCUGGAAAAGUUAUAAGCAAAACAUCAUUUCUCUAAGAAAAUUCUGGAUAACAGAAGUUCUGAGUAACAGGUAAAGUAUAUUUAAACUUCUUGGAUGCUGAUGGUCACCUAUAAUCUACAAAAGUAAACUGGGAGUGGGAAGAAGAGAAGAAGGAGAGAGAAGUGUGCUUUGUGUCAGCGGUUGCGUUAGGAAUUGUAUAUACAUCAUCUCAUUUAGAUGAUUGUUACCCAGAUGCUGGGCGUAUAGAUCUAAGAAUCUCAGAAUAAAACUGCCCUUCAAAAUGCUGUUUUGAAUGGAUUUGCCUAUGGAUUGGAUUUAAUGUCCUCACACCACAGUUUGCAAACGUAAAUCUACCAUAAACCAAAUACAGCAGUACACAGAAUCCUGGAAUCUGCUAUCCUGUGCAGUCUAGCCAGUUCCUAGUCUUCCUAGUUCCUUUCUGUCUUUUGUUUUAGUUCUUGAUCAUUGCCAGUUAUUGCAGCUGUAUCAUCUCCUUAAUUCUUUUUAAUACUUUGUCACCAGGUCCAAAAUUUAAAUUUCCUAAUAAGGUACCUCUUCACAAUGGGGUCCAA
ensembl:lncRNA